AAUACGGGUUCUCUCUAGUCUCCGUAACAUUGCCACUAAUUGCUGCCGUUGCUGAUAUGCUGGUUCUCUCCGUCUCUUCCUUUCCUUCCUCCUCCCUCCGACUGUGAGCUCCAAUGAAUCCUCCAGCUCCAUUUUCCCAUCCAUUCUUCACUCUCCUCCCUCAAAAUCCCAACCUAAACCCUAACCCAAAUUUUUUCCAGUCUUUUCCCCAGAAUCCGGCGCCUCCCUUUCAAGCCACCAUCUCCACUGUUCCUCCAACCACUACCGAUCUCUCCACUACCCUUCAAACCCUCAAAGGCCUCAUUCACCUCUCUGAAACAACCAUAAACUCCCUCUCCUCCCCUCUCCUUCACUCCACGAGCCUAAAUGACGCUGUUCUCUGCCCCUGCCCCUUUAAUCCCCAUCACCGCAUGCCCCCGGAGUCGCUCUUUGUCCAUUGCCUCCGUUGCCCGUCUUCCAAUUCCCCUGUUGACCCCUCCCUUCUCGACUCCCUUCAGUACCCGAAAACUUUAAGGUCAGAGGCCGAACUGCGCGAGCAAAAUCGUUUCGUUCAAACCCUUCGUGAUCCCGCCACCGAACUUUGCUUUUCACUGGAUGAUUAUGUAGAUUUCACUUCAAAUUUCUUUUACCGAGAUUGCCCGGGCGCCGUUUGUUCAUUAGAUCAAGAUGGUGUCGGUACCAGUAGGACUUUUACGCUUCCAGGGGUUCUAUCGGUCGAAUGUGCGAAUUUCAUUGGUAAUGGCGGUGGAGAACUUAAGGGGAUUGGAAUGGACUCUCUGAGAUUUCUUCCUUCGGAAUUAUGGACUGUUAGAGGUGAAAUUGAGCUGUGGAGUGAUUAUCCUAAUAUUUAUUCGUAUGGUGUUCUCCAGGCAAUUUUGUGCUCGCUGAUCGUUAAAGAGUCUGAUUUGCUUAGAUGGGUAGUUUCCAAUUCGCCUAGGUAUGGUAUUGUGAUUGAUGCACCUAUGAGUGAUCAUAUAUUUUUGCUUUUUAGACUUUGUCUGAAAGCAGUUGUGAGGGAAGCCAUUGGUUUUGCGGGGUUGUUUAGUAGAGAGUUGAACGGGCAAGAUGUAGAGCUUAAUGUGAAGACUAUGAGUUUUAAAUGCCCCAUUUUGUUUGAAGUAUUGACGUGGUUAGCAGCACAGCUAUCUGUUUUAUAUGGGGAAAUGAAUGCAAAGAUUUUUUCUGUUAACCUACUUAAGCAGUGCUUAUUAAAAGCUAUGUUGCAUUUGUUGCUGUUUUCAUCAGAGCAGCGUGUGACAGAUGACAAUGUCAAACCUGAAGGGUCACAUGAGAAACAAGCAGGGUGUGAACAAGGUAGAAUAAUGGGUAAAACUAUUGAUUGCAGGAAUAUUUUUGUGUCUCAGAUAGCAGCAGCUGUUGCUGCAUUACAUGAAAGAUCUCUGCUUGAAGAAAAAAUCAAAUGGCUACGGUUUUCAAAGCCAUCUACAAGCUAUCAGCGUAUCGCAGAACAUGAAUAUUUUUCAAAGAGAGCUGAUGAAGAGCGGCAAGGACGUUCCAACUAUAGGCCCAUUCUUGAGCAUGAUGGACUUCUUUGGCAGCGCCCGCAGAGCCAGGGUACGAGUAUAAUUAAGACGAGAGAGGAGUUAUUAGCCGAAGAAAGGGAUUACAAACGACGAAGAAUGUCAUACCGUGGCAAGAAGAUGAAGCGAACAACUACACAGGUGAUGAGGGAUAUAAUAGAGGAAUACAUGGAGGAAAUCAAGCAAGCUGGAGGAAUUGGUUGCUUUGUGAAGGGAGCUGACAAGGGAGCGAUGUUCCCGUCUGAACAAAUUUUUGCCCAUGACGUCACUACAAAUGCUGAUGAACUGAAAAAGAGUGGAUAUCACCCAUCUGAAGCAAGCAUGGGACAGCACCAUGAUCACAGCAGAAGAUCACAUUCUGAUUAUCAUUUCAAGCCUACAAGGUUUGGGGAUGCUUCUCCCAAGGAUUAUGACAAAGAGAAAAGAAACACUCAUGGACAUGAUGGACAUCUAGAAAAUAGAAGAACCAGUAAGGAUAGAUGUGGUGGAGAGUAUUAUUCCAGAAGUGCAGAAAAACACCGAAAUCAUGGCAGAUUGCAUGAAUGGAAUGGCUACCAAAGAGAACAAGAUGAUAUGAAAGUGUCCAGAACCAAGCAUCAUGAAAUCAGUAGGACAUCUACCGAAUUUCAUGAUAGUAGAUCAUAUUCUCCUACAUAUUCUGUGAGUAAUUCAACUGUGAGAAAGGAUAGCGGCAGGUCAGAAAUUAAGGAUAGACGGCGAAGGAACACAUACAGGAGUGAUAGAUCAGACUCUGUGAUACGAAGUCCCUUUGAUGACAGAUAUGAUCCUUCAGAAUCUCGUGAUAUGUAUGACGAUGACAUCUCCUCUGGCAGAAAAUAAUUUAGACUGGAUAUGGUAUCGUGUCUAAUAUAAUGUCAAGUAUUUCAUUAGGACCAUAGCAGCUACUCCACUGAAGGGCAUCAUUCUGAUUGCCAGAAAAAAGUAGCACGUGAUUGUUCCUUUGUGUGUGUAAGAAGUCAUUCGGGCUUCAGCAAUCUAGUCUACGUCUGUAUCCUCCUUUGUAUCCUUAAUUGUUUUGUUGGAUGUCAUGGCAUUUUAUCAUUUUACUAAUGUCUAAUGGUUCUUUGGGUCUUAUCUCUUUCUUCAUUUAUUUUUUGAUCACAAGUAUUAUAAUGACUUCCUUCUUAGUUGAUAAUAUUUAGAUUGCAAUGUCAAAAAUUAGCUAACUUUGGCUUCAUCUAAAUUCAUAUAUAUAUUUUAAAAUCACACUAUCACCAUUCUAAUCCUAAAAUUUUGUUUCCAAGUUAUCUCAACUUAAUGUAAUAGAAAUCUGAGUUAUGUAUGGGUUUCCAAGCACUCAGGAGCUCAAUCAUUCGAGUUGGUGACUGAAUUUUACAAUAUAAAUAAAUAUAUUUUCUGAAUGUGCUAUUAAUUGUUAUAAUCACCUGUUUGUCCUAUGCUUGAAAUUAUUGGCCUCCAGUUUGCGCAUUGCCCAUAUGUAGCCACAGAAAUGUUUUCUGUAAGCAAAAGUUGCAUACAUUGAAAAGUGCAUGUUGAUCACUUGUGACAUUUAUCAACAGCAGCGAAGUUAGUUUGUUUUGACCUGCAUAUCAUAGGAAUAGCAUAGUACUUUCCAAUCAGUGGCAUACUUCGAGUUUCACCAGCACGUUGCAUUAAGAAAAGCUCCCAUCUAGGAAUGGUAAUCAGGCAAGUUUAAAACUGAUGUGAUGUAACAAGCUGGCAGGCUUGGGUUAACAUUUUUUUUUAAAAAAUAUAAUGGGCUUCCUGAGACUGUUACAGGCACAUGUAUCACUGGAAGUGUCCCUCUUCACAUCCGUAUUGUCUGCUAUAGUACUUGAUGCUGUUAGGGUCGACCAUCAGUCGCUAUACCCUCAAGUUGGUUGUGAUUCGCUGAAAACAGUACUUUACACCAUUUUAGUAUUUGUUUAGAAAAUUUCAAACCCUUAAAACUUGAAAACAGAAUGUGUAUUCAUGUUUGCCAUCAAACAGUUAAUGAUAAAACUCAGAAAUAAUAUCAAAUUAAUUGAUGGUAACAAACUUUCUGUUAUAUGGGAGUGUUAAAAAAAAUCAAAAAAAUUGAAUGAAAUUAUCUCCUACCAGUUAGAAAUUAUGUUUGUGACACAUGUUUACACUCUUCCAUUGCUAAAAGAAUUGGAUCAAAUCUGAAAUUUGAAGGAAUGUUGUCUCUAGCAUAGCUGUCAAAUUGAGAAAUGAGUUGUGAAUUGAAAUUCCAAUUUUGGGAAUUGGGAAUCAAGAAUUGAGUUGUAAGAUUUGGUAUAAGUUUCCGAAGUUAAUCUAAAGGACAUUCAUAUAUUGAUAAAUGAACAAGAAGAAAAAUAGUAAAACAUAUUUAAAUAUUAACAAUGAAAAAAAGAAUUCAUACUUCAUGUGCAUGCUUUCCCUAAACAAACUGGAAGUAAGGGAAUGAGUUAAGAAAUAUUAAUAAAAAUGGAACUUUUGGUGUUUCUGAACAAUUAAAAAAAUAAUAUUUCAUGCGUGUUCUUUCUUGAGUUAAAAAGGAAAAAAUAACCAACUUUAAAAAAGGAUUAUAAUUGAACAAAUUACUAAAAAAAACCAUCUUAACAACACAAUGAAACAUGAGUACCGCCUUAGUUGAUGAGUGGGCUGCUUUCUUAAUAGUAUGACACUAUACUCCUUCAAAAUAAGUAAGCAUUUUAGAUUAAGAAUUCGAUGAGCUUUUUGCCUUGGGACUGAUGGUUGUGUCUCAAGGAUCUGGGAGAUUAGAAUUAAUAAAAAGUGUAACACAACGUUAGUGAUGAUGGGCGAGGAAAUAAUCAAAUAAUUGACAAUAGGGAGGAGUUACCUAAAAAUGAUUGCAUAAUUAUUUGGGAUUGAAUAUUCAAGAAAUGGGGACUUGGGGAUGAUAUUAUGCAUAAGAUCAAAGUUAAACUGAGACACUUUCUACUAGACUUGCACAAUGCUAAUGAGUUAAUAUUGGAUAUAAUUUCUUGUUGCUGAGAUUUUGGGGUUUUGGAAAGGGGUAGAAGAGGGAGUGCUUUAUGGACUUGCAUUGCAUAUGCCAUUCUUUAGAGGAACCAUCUAUCAAAAGGAGGGAGACUCACCCUCAUCAAAAGCACCUUAUCCAACCUUCUGGUCUAUUUUAUGCCUCUCUCCCUAUCCCUAGUUCAUGCUAAGAGGUUGGUAGGUAUUCAAAAAAGGAGAUUUCUUUGGGGAGCAUGGGUGAGGUACUUAAAUACAUUUUAUAAAUGGGGAAUGGCGAAACAACUGAUGCUAAAAGGGUAGGACUAAAAUCUCUUCCGACUUUCAAUAAGGCUGUCCUGGAAAAUGGCUCUGGAGAUUCAUUAAGGAAAAUAACCAUUUUGUUAUGGAGGGAAGUCAUUGCCACCAAAUAUGGUGUACAACAUAAUGGGUGGGCUUUUAACAAGGUGAGAAGAGCUCAGGGUGUAGGUUUAUGGAAAUUCAUCAGAGAGGAUGGUAGGAUUGUCUCUCAUUUUUGAGUGGGAAACUGGGAGAAUGUUUCCCUUUGGCAUGAUAUUUGGUGUAGCAAGUCUCCGCUUAGCAAAGAAUACACUUCCAUCUUCAGGUUGGCUUGUGACAAAAAUGCCUUCCUAGAAAGCACCUGGAACUCGCUGAUUAUGAGAUUUUAUGGACAUUCACCUGAGUGGAAUGCCUUCAAUUGGAAAAUUGACAACCUGACAAAUUUUCAGUAGCCUUCAUAAAAUUAACCGCCAGAACACUACCAAUGAGCACAAAUGGACCCAAGAAAAAUAUGGGAAUUUUAUGGUUAGAUCCUACUAUAAACAACUCAUCUAGAUCCUACAAUUCAUCUAGAUCCUACUAUAACAACUCAUCUCUCUGAUAGAAACCAGCAGCAAAUUCCCCUGGUGUUCUGAGAACUGCAGCCCCCACAAAGGUUGCUGUCUUCGUGUGGGAGGCAACUCUUGGAAAGAUCCUCUCUAUUGACAACCUCCAGGAAAAGGGGCCUGCCUCUUGUUACUUGUAUGGAUCAGGCUGAAUAAUUUGAGCCUCCAUUCUCUUGCUCCUCACCUAGAAGUUUUUGGAACUUGGCCUUUCCCUUGUCAGGCAGAAGCAGGUCACUGCCGGAUCUGUGGAGGGUGAGUUCUGGGCUUGGAGAGGUAUCCAGUCCUGUAAGGAAAGAAGGCUUUUUCCCUCAUUCCCCUUUCUAUUUUUUGGUUGAUGUGAAGGGAAAGAAACCAAAAAUCUUUUGAAGGAUUGGCUUAGUCCCUUCAUGUAGUCAAGGAUCGUCAGAUUCCUCCUAUAUGUAACUGGCAUAGUGGAUGUUUGUGAAUGAUAUUUAUUUAAUCUCUGAGUUUUUUGACAUGCUGCAGUGUGGGAAUGUUCUUUGGUGUUGUAAUUUCAUUGUAAAUGGGUGACAUCCCCUGCUGCCCUUCAGUGAACUUUCUUUGCUGAUAAGAAAAUGUUUGUCGUUUUUAAGAUUCUAGCUCAAAACAAAUGUGAGAAUUUUCAAGGGUCAAAAGACUCUUUGAAUUUGCAUUGGGAGGAAGUUGUUGUUGUUGUUGUCUUUUUUUUUUUUUUAAUUUCUCUAGGCUCAUUCUUUUGGGAUUUUGGGGUGUAGUUGUCUGACCUUCAAGGGGAUUGGAAAGCAGUGCUGUUGUAAUUAUUAGAUUUUGGAAAGGAUGCCUUUUCCUCCAUCUAUUAUACUCUUUUAAUCUUUAAUACUGAAUUUGAGCUGUACCCAAUUCCUCGUGAAAUUCUUCCAGCAAAAAACCACUUUCACAUGCAAAAUCCGUUCUAAAUUUACUAUUGUCAACAGAAACAUCACCCAGUUCUUUUUAGCAUCCUGCUCUCCCUCUCUAGCCUUCUCGUCAGAGACUACUUUCACCUCUGACCUCCAAAGUAAUAAAGCUGCUAUCCCUGUCCCCCUCUGAAGAUACAGUUGUCCUUGCAUCAUAAUCAAUUCUUCACUCUUUAAGCACAUUUCGCAUCUCAGCACCUGCUUGUAUAAGCACUCUCUGAUUGUAAACUUUAGAACAUCCAGCCCACCAAUGCCCAGAACAUUCCUCACUUACUUCCAACUCUUAAAUCCCUUUGUCAUACAACUGCAUUAUCAAUGGACCUACAGUUGGAUUUUGGCUUAGUGUCCUCACACACAACUGCAUUAUUAUUGGACCUUCAAUUGGGAUUUCGUCCGCUGAAAACUCUGAUUAACUGAGCCACCUUCAAUCAGCGGCCUAUUUAGAGUUCCACUCGCCUGCUGCUCCUUCCAUACACUUGCAAAUCUUAUUAGAAAUUUGCUUUGAUUCCUGCCCCCCUCUCAAAAAAUUCCCAUCUUUAGAGCCUUGCAAUUGCCUCACCUCAUGCUGGACUGGAACCUUGCUGCUGCUAAGAGCCACGAGUAACCCUCCAUCCUGCCUCAUUGCUCGUGAUGUGCUUAGAUUCUAGUGAAAUGAGUGAGGACUUGUUUCUUCGUUGUCAGGUCCAGACAGUGUUGAUGUAAUCUUUUUUCCUCUGUAGGUGAGAUGUGGGUGUCGCCUUACGCUUAGAUGUUUUUAUAGUGAGGCUCAGGGGCUUUGGGAAAAGUAAAAAGGGAAGUGCUGUGGCAUUGUGUGUGGUUUGCUAUAUUUUGGCUUUUGUGGAUGGAAAGGAAUGCCAGAGUCUUUAAUGAUGAAGAUGUGAUAGAGUGGUCUCUCUUGCUUCUAUUUGAGCUAUGGCUUUUGGGUUAUUUCUAGGACGGAACUGGUUGAAGAAAAUUUGCUAUUGAAAUUGAAGAAGCAUCCAGGAAAAUAAUGGAUGUGUGAAAAAUGGGGCUAUGGCCGAAACUGGUUGAAUUCAUUAUUCUGGGUAAAUUUGUCUGCUGCAUCUCCACUGUCUUCAUCAUACUAUCUUGUAUCAUUUUGAAGCCUGCGAAUUGCAUUAGUAUCUUGCCCAUCAGCAACCUUAGUUCUUGAUCCUUCGAUUUUUUAAAAUUUGAGGUUGAAUUCUCCCUUACAAGGGAGCAUUUUUAAAUUGUUUUUGUAGCUUUUCCAUUUUAUAAUUUAAGGUAUUUUUAUCGGGAUCAUUUCUUUUAGAUAUAUAUAUAUAUAUAUAUGUGUGUGUGUGUGUGUGUAUUGCUUAAAAAAGUAAUGUUACUUUUAGGUGGCAGUUGCUUUCUGGGAUUCUUCAGGAGUCAUGGGAAUGUAACCCAUUCUCAUGUUUGUUUUGGGGGCUGGAAAGUGUUGUGGUGGUAAUAUUACAUUGUUUGGGAAUCCUAUAAUGCACACAAAACAAAAAUAUUUUCAUCAGAUGGGCAUCUUAUUAUCAGAAAUAGGAUUCCUGGAAUAUGUCAUUCCAAAUGGGUGUCUUAGAUUCUGUGAACCAAGCAACACCUUGUGGAUAUCUUUUAGUUUCUAGCAUCCUUUUAUUUAGGAAUACAGUAUAUUAAGUAUUUAGGAUUCCUAAAUUAUUUUCUUGUUCCCAAUUCAGGGAGAGCUAAAUUGGAAUUUGAAAUUGUGUUGGAUGGUCAUUGUGCAUCAAUUGACUGUGUUAUGCACAUUGGAGAUAGCAGAGCAAUGUCUUUCUUUUUCUUAUCAGGGAAGCCUUUUUUAUACACCUGCCCUUGGGUUUAUAGUUGUAUUUUUAGAAAUAUAUUGUGCUUCCCGAAUGCAUAGCGAAUAUAUGAACAUGAAGAUAUCUGUUGCUACUAUGCAUAUAUAAAUAAAUUUUUGUAUCCAUGUGUUCUGGAAGUUCAUUGGACCUUAAUGAAGUUCUCAAAACUAAGCUCUCAUGCUUUCACCAAUGCUUUGUUGAUCCUGGCUCCAAUCUUAUGUGGCCUUAGGGUACCUCUUCUCUCUCAUUCCAGCUAGGUCCUUUCAUUUCCUUCCGUCCAUGGCUUGCACCCUAGUUGCCAUCUUUUGUUCUAUUUUUAUUUUUAUUUUUUUCAAUUAAUGAAUUAUUGAACUUGGUCUGCUUAAAAAAUUGCCGAGUAAUGGAAAUUAGUCGGAAAGUUAGGCUCUUACAAUUUUUUCCCUUAAGUUGUAAACUGAACCAAAAUUUUAAAAUCUGAAAAGGAAGAUUUAUUAUGAAAAGUAUUAGAAGUUGUUAUCCAUAAUGGCUCCAAAGAACUUGAUGAGAAGGAGAUAAUCUAGGGUCUUGAUGAUAAACAGAGGGCCAAAAGAGUUCUGCUUAAUAAGGAAUUGAAUGAGGUUAUUAGUCUUGAAGAAAUAUCUUGGCGGCAAAAAUCCAAAGCUUUAGGGGCCAUAAUACAAAAUUCUUUCACCAGACAGCAACUCAUCACAGAUGUAACACCUUAUCCAUCAUUGAGAUAGCGGGAACCACCUUGGCCAGGGAAGAGGAUUUUAAAAAGGUAUUUGUGAUUUUUAUAAAGACCUUAACACUGAACUUGAAAUUUGGAGACUAACAAUGGAUGGUAUCAAUUUUAGAUCUCUCAGUUCUUACAUUGCAGGGUGGCUUGAGAGACCCCUCGACGAAGCAGAAGUCCUCCAAGCUAUUAAAAAUUGCAAUGGGGAUAAAGCACCUAGACCGGAUGGUUUCUCUUUGGCUUUCUUUCAGACUAGCGGGAGCCUUCUCAAGCACGACAUUUUAAAUGUGUUCGAUGAGCUUUUCAUGGAUCAGGAAAUUCGUCAGUUGCAUCAAUACCACCUUUGACACUCUUGUUCCGAAGAAAGUUGGGGUUGUUAACGUCAAGGAUUUUUACCCUAUUAGCUUGGUGGGGAGCAUUUAUAAAAUCAUUGCUAAAGUCCUAGCCAAGAGGAUUUAAAAAAAAAAGAAGCAAUAUUGAGAGUCAUUGGUCAGUAUCAGCAUGCUUUUGUGGCUGGAAGACAGAUUAUGGAUGCUGCUUUUAUUGCUAAUGAGGUGGUGGAUGCCUAUGUGAUGGGGGGAAAAGGGGAGUAGUGUGCAAACUGGAUAUGGAGAAAGCAUUUGAUCAUGUCAACUAUAACUUCCUUCUUUAUCUCCUCAGGAAAAUGGGCUUGGGUAGCUUUGGUGUAGUUGGAUUGCUCAGUGCAUCAAAACGCCAAGCUUUUCAAUGCUCAUAAAUGGCUGCCCUUCUGAUUUCUUUCACUCCUCAAGAGGCUUGAGACAAGGGGAUCCCUUGGCCACUUUUCUAUUUAUUUUGGUUAUGGAGGUGCUAAGCCUCAUGCUGAUGAAAGCUAGUGAAAUAGGGAUUUUUAGAGGUCUCACCGUUAUAUCCUUAACCUUCAAGAUGCAUUUGUUAGGGUUUGAGGCUAUCUCAGGUUUGAAAGUGAACCUUCGUAAAAGUGAGCUUGUUCCAAUUGGAGAGAACACCCCGGGGGGGGGGGGGGGAUCUUCCCUUGUUGGUCUUAUGUGUUGCAAGAUGGGGUCCUUUCCCAUUAAUUAUUGCGGCCUCCCCCUAGGAGCCAAAUUCGAGAACAAAAAGGAGUCUAGGACCCCAUUUUAGAGAAGUUUGAAAGGAGAUUGGUAGGAUGGAAAAAAUUUCUUAUCAAAAGGAGGCUACUUUGACGAACCUUCCAGUUUAUUUCAUGUCUCUCCUUCCCUUACUGGCCUUAGUUGCUUGGAGAUUGGAGAGAAUUGAGAGAAGAUUUUUGGGGAAGCCUAGGAGAGGAGUUUAAAUAUCACCUUGUUAGACAGGAAGUGGUUAAACAACCCAUAUGUUCGGGAGGUUUGGGGCUAAAAUCUCGUCACUUUCAAUAAAGCCGUCCUUGGGGGAGUUGUUAUGGAGGUUCAUGAAGGAGAAAGGCCACUUUUGGUGAGAUAUUGUUGUUUCUUAAUAUGGGCUCAAGCAUAAUGGUUGGAUAACACACAAUAGUAGGGGGCCUUAUGGAGUGGGAGUUUGGAAAUUCAUCAGGAAAAGAUGGGAUGAUUUUUCCAAUUCAUGAGAUUUUCAAGUUGGAAAUGGGGCCAACAUUUACUUUUGGCAUGAUGUGCGGCGUGAGAACAGUAAUCUUAGAGUUGCCUUUCCUUCCAUCUACAGCUUGCCUUGUGACAAAAAUGCCCUUAUCAAUCAUCAUCUCCAAAUCAUUGAUCAGGGAAUUUUCUUGGAUAUUCCUUUUACUAGGAAUUUGGGAGAUUGGGAACUUCAUGCACUCUUUAGACUUUUACAGAAAUCUCUAUAAUUACCAUUACCAAAACAUCCCCAACAAACCAAAAUGGGCUUUGGACAAAAAUGGUGUUUUCACUGUUAAAUCUUUCUAUAAGAAGCUCUCCUCAAUGGGAUCAAAUUGCAACAACUCCUUUUUGGAUUCAUAUUUGGAGGACAGCAGUCCUUUCAAAGAUUGCCUUUUUUGUGUGGGAGUCCACAUAUGGAAAUAUUUUAACCCUUGACAAUCUGCAGAAAAAGGGUCUUAUUGUAUGAUUGAUGUAGGAUCAAUCAACCACAUUCUUCUUUGCACUGCCCCUGGAUAAGGAACUUGUGGAAUAUGGUUCUAUCCUUGACUGGAUAUUAGUGGGUUACAGCCAAUUUCGUUGGAGCGGAGAUUUGGGCUUGGAAAGGCAUCUAAGACACCAAGGAGAACCAAAAGGCUUUGAAUCUCAUCCCUCUAGCCAUAUUUUGGUGUGCUUGGAAAGAAAGAAAUAAGAAAGCCUUCAUAGAUACUACUUCAGAUUUGCAAAGAGCAGUGAAUGCUGUUGUUUCAAGCUGGUGUAGUGGGCAAAUUGUUAAUGAUCUAAAUGUAAUCCUUGAUGUUUGCGACUUUACGGAGUGGUUGAUGUUUUGCACCUCAGGAUGGCAUCCCCUUGAUGCCCUACUAAUAUAACUCUCUUUACUAUUAAAAAACAUAAGAAAAUACACAGGCAGACAUGGCACCUCCUAAAACAACAAAAGGGAGGAAAACACACCUUCCAAGGAAAUAAAUAAAAAAUUACAUCAAAAUAGGCCUUCAACCACUCUGCAUAUCACUCAACUAAAUGGCCCUCAAAACCCCAAAGGAACAGUACAAAGCGAGUGCAACGGUCCUGGCCUAACUCUAGUGAGGUAUUGUAUGCUUUGGCUCAUUGACCUCACGGGUCCUAUAAAAGAUGCCUCACUUAGUUGGAGCCCAAACCCUCCUUAUAAGCCCUAGAUAUCCCUAGUACACAUUCGAUGUGGGAUCGUGACAUGCUCCCCCGUCCAAUCUUUGACGUCCUCGUCAGCAUGAUUUCCCUAUUACACAUCCGAUGUGAGUUCGUGAUAGGCUUCUUGUUCGAUUUCUAACAUCCUUGUUAGCAUGAUCUCCCUAUUACACAUUCGAUGUGAGAUUGCGACAUACCCUCUCAUAUGAUCUUUUGACGUCCUCAUCAAAGUGACUUACAUCUUUGUGUAGGAUCCACUUACAUGACGGCACCCCUAGGGUGGAUCCACUCACAUGAUAGUAUUAUCAGACGUGGCUCUGAUACCAAAAGUAACAGUUGUGGGUCCAACUCCGGUGAGGUAUUGUUUGUUUUGGCCCACUGGCCUCACGAGUUUGUCCUAUAAAAGACGCCUCACUUAGUUGGAGCCCAAACCUCCUUAUAAGCCCGAGAUUUUCCUAGUACACAUCCGAUGUGAGACCAUGAUAGGCUCUCCUAUCCAAUCUUUGACGUCGUCGUCAGCGUGAUUUUCCUAGUACACAUCCGAUGUGAUUUUUUGUGACGGAUUCUCCCAUCUGAUUUCUGACAUCUUUGUUAGUGUAAUCUUCCUAGUACACAUCCGAUGUGAGACUGCGACAGCGAGCUAUGAGUUUAUCUUGGAGAAUUCUCCCAAAAGGUGUCCCCCUAUUGACUGAACAUGUUAGUAGAACUGUUGACAUCCUUAGCUUGUUUUUUAAAAGCUGUGUGCUACUACUACCUGUGUUUUUUCUUUUGACACAACUCCUUAGCAUAUGAUAGCCAUUGCAUCCUUCAGGUCAAAUGGGGUUUAGUGUCCUAGCAUACUAGCAAUAUUAGGUUUUCAAAGGGUGAGACUGUCGCAUAAUUCCAUUGCAGACUAUGGAUACAAAAAUAGGAAAUGGUUUGUUGUGUGCACUUGUUUGUGCGUGUGAGUGCUCUGUAUUGUACUUUCACGUUAGAGUUCCUACAGUUAUGGCCUUGGUGAGUAUGUGGGCUGAAGUGGUGUUUUGAGUAUCAGAUCAUAUUGUAUCUUCACCAUGUCUACCAAUCAAUUAAACUGAUAUGAAGGUUAUAUAAAAUUUUAAAAUUUGGGGAAGUCACAGCCAAAUAAUUGACCUGCUCCCUAAAAAAAAAAAAGAAUAAAUACUUGUUUUUCUACUUUGCUUAUUGAGAAAGACUUGGAUGCUGCAGGGUCAUGUGCUCCCAUGGAAUAAUACAGUGCCAUGGGAUUUUUCCUAUGUUAACUGUGCAUCAUGUUUGUCCACCUGCAAACCUUUCAGCUGCCUAGUUUGUGUCUAGGUUUGUUAUGAACGUAUUACUUCAAAAAAGUCUGAAAAAUGGUCAAGGUGUUAUUGCAGUUUUAUUUUUAGAUCAUGUUGGUUUUUUUUGAAAUAUUUGUUGCGUGAAUCAGAGCAUAGCGUUGUUCAAAUAUUUUCAUACAUAGUAUUAGUUUUAUGCUCAUAUUUGUGAAUCCUAAAUCAGCCAAUUACAAACGUGGCUGAGAUUUGCCCCUUGCCAGUGGGAAAUAGUGAGAGGAAUUGCAUAUUGUUUGUCAUGCAAAAGAUGAUUAUAUCUGUUAGGCGAUGGUCAAGACAUUGUCAGAAAAUAUUUUCUUUCCACAACUGUUCCACUCGCAGGGAGUUGAAUUUGGUCUAAUGUAUUGUUGAAUUUGCCAGUGGUGCACUCCAUGCAUGGUUCAGAGGAUGCAAUGCUGUUUUAGUUUGAAUUGUCUUGUGGAUAAACUACCUGCUUGUAGAUUGCAAGAAGAUUUUCAUUGUUUGUGAAAGAAGAUUGGCAAGGAGAUUUUUGAGCUGCUGCACGCCUGCACCCAUUUCAAGGUUUUGUGUUGCCAUUGAUUGACAGGUAAAAAAUGGAGCUUGAGGAGAAACACUGAGAUUUUUUAUGUUAAUUUUACUUUUAAUUUUCAUGGUUCCUUGUGCAUGCAUCAAGCGCUCAAGCUACUGGAUUUGGUUAAACUCUUUAUCUGUUACCAUAUAUCCCCGAAAAAGGAAAAAAAAAAAAAAAAGAGAAAAGGAGUGACUGACUAGAAAAGUCAGGUUUGAGUUGUGGAAGGUAGGUGGGCUUUUAUUGUUGUUAAGAACUUUUGACAAUUAUAUCACAAUACCAUAUAUUUCAUAUAUGAUGUGCCAAAACCCUUUCCAGUUAGAAUCUUCUUGAAACCCU